rnacentral:snRNA from 1 species
GUGCUCACUUCAGCAGCACAUAUACUAAAAUUGGAACGAUACAGAGAAGAUUAGCAUGGCACCUGCUCAAGGAUGACCCUCAAUUUCAUAAAGUGUUCCAUAUUUUU